GACUUGGAUAAAACGUAGGAGAAAAUCAGUGUUCGGGACCUGGCAUAUGUUAAACUACCUGAUUUAGCCCUAGGGGUCGUUGUAUUUUUAUACUGUUGCAGUAUCCUCAUAGUGAGUAUCCCAGAUAGUUCAGAUUUCAGUUACGCUCGUGCUGUGAUGCUGAGCCGAUUUUUACAGUAGUGUUUACAGUAUUUCGGAUUAGUGGGUGCCGUAGUGGUUGACGGCGGACCCGGAUUUGAUCGUUCCGAUAUCAGAUUGUGCCGAGGGCACGUGACUAGUGGUUGGUAGUACUGUUAGACCUGCUUUCUUGACUUUAGCUUGUGAGAGCCUGAUUGAGCUCGACAGAGAUACGCUUGCGCUCCGAAGUCUGGCUUUGUGCUUUCACGUUGAUGUCGCUGAUUAGUUGCUAUCCACGGACUGUUUAGCGUGGAGGUAGCGCGGCUUAGACAGGCGGAGCGGGUGCGUACACAGUCCCUAAUGAGAUUGGGUCAGAAGUGAUAGUAGACACAGUUGGAUAGUGUAGUGGCAUGUAGCUGUGGAUUUCUUUCCGGGUUUACCUUUUAGCCUUGUUUCCUACUGUAGUCUUAGUAGGUGAGCCGAUGAUUUUGAGGGCGGUACCCACUGAGAACUAUUUGUUUUACAGUAGUUCUCACGCCCAGUUGUUAUCUUAUGUUUUGCAGAGCCUGCUGUUCCGGCUGCUGCGUCUUCAGAGAUGAUCGAGGCAAGGGCGUCACGAGUUAGAGCCCUACCCGACGAAUCGCCGUGCUAGAGGAUCACCAGCUGCAGGUAGUAGUGUUUUUUAUUUUGAGCUUAUGUAUUUACUGAUACUAGAACUCGCUGGAGCGAGUGUUUUUGUACUUGUUAGUUUGUAUGUAUAUGAGAUUUGUUCAUUCUACCUGCUUAGUUCUUUUCAGCUCUACACUACUAUUUGUAGUAUUGUAUAUUUUACAGAUACAGCUAUCGCUUCGUAUACAGAAAAAAUUUCUUUGUAUACGGCGGAUUUGUCGGUGUUCCCGGGGAACGUGUAAUCCGGGGCGUGACAGAUUAAGUUGGUAUCAGAGCUUAGCAUUAGGUCGUUGGGAUCUAGGAAACCUAAGUUUGGCAAACCUUAGGAAGACAAGACGCUAGAAGCGUUAUUUACUGCGAAAGUCAAUGAUUAAUUAUUGUAACUCAUCCUGAGGGGAGUGAGUGACUGGAAGAGUGCCUGUUUUGGCCUACAAAAUUAUGUUGGCUGUAGACGACAUAAUUUCGAGAAAAGAUAGGUGCCGCCUUCUGGACUUUCGUUGAUUGGGUCGAGAGUGCUUGUGUUUAUCUGACCCUGCUUUUCUUUUUGCAGCUAUGUAUCGUCGUCGAGGCCGACCGUCGACACGGGACCGGGCACAGUUGGCACAGGAUCAUGUGGGACCUUCUGAGAUGCCUGAGCAGGCGGAGCCGAGUGCCCGGCAGGAGCAGAGUGUUCGAUCGGAGGCGAGUGCAUCCCCGGACUUGACUGCACAGUUAGCCGCCCUGACAGAGGUGAUGAGGCGGCAGGGGGAGUUGUUGG
rnacentral:lncRNA from 1 species